UGCCUGACAUGACUCCACACCUGAACCAGUCAAAUUAAACUUGGUCACCUAACACCAUUUCUGUGGGGCUUUGUACCACUGCUUCACGGUUCCCUUCUGGCUUUUUGUCAUGGGUAGUGGCAGUUUUUGGUUUCUAUGGUUUAUCAACGGUUUCCCUUACUAACAGAUCUAUUCCUCUGACUGAAAGUUUGGCACAGCUGGAAACUAGAAGCAAAACCACAAGUGAAUGGCCUGGCACUUACCACCCAUCUCCAACCACAAACCCAUACAGUUACUGGAUUUGACUAACGGCUAUCAAUCACCCCAACUGCAGACAAACAGAUAUCAACUAGAAAAGGCCUGAGGGAAAACAUCAGCUAAAAACCAAGUCGAUUCCUCUGCUGUUCUCUCUUCUUUCCAACCUAAAGAAGAUUGAAGAUAUAUUACAGAUCUUUUCUCUGCUUUUGAAAGACAUUUCAAAAAUGUCUCGAAAAUAAGAGAACACAGCAUGAGAAGGAAAAGUCAAGCUAAGAACUGAAAAAAAGUAAAAAUUUUCCAUAUGGAGGAAUACAGGAUCUAGUAGGCAGAGCCAAAUAUUCCUACUGCUGCAUAGCUAUUGUGCCCACUUAAAACAGUGAAGACUAAAGGAUCAGAUAUGCUGAAGCACAGAGAAAUACCUGACAAGGAAUUAAGCUGCAUCUGAAAUUAUACUGUGUCAUAGAAAUAUGCCUCACAAUUUGUUGCAUGGCAAUAUUCAUAUUUUUAGAGGCUCUUUAUUAUCUUCAGAGCCUAUUUUCAGACUGUGUUCAUGACACUGUUCUUGUAUGUGCAGAAAGAUAAUAUAAAACUGAAGUCUUCACUACUAUCAAUCAGAGUAGUCUUUCUCACGGUCAGUACGUCCAGGAUUUCAUCUGCAAUAUCCACAUACACAGGAAGAUAUUAAAAUACCAGUCUGUUGACAAUUCACUAUGGUGUGCAAAGAAAGAUGAUUUUAAAAAGACAAGGAAUAUAAUUCUUCCCUAUAGAGAUCAGGCUAAGUUUAUCAACUGAUUUUGGUUUGAGACAGUUCUGUUUAUGCUGGUUUAUAUGAAUUUGUAGUCUCUGUCCUGCUCCCAUCCAAACCCAGUAUCUGCAGGAUCACUGAUGCACUUGGGCUGUGGCAGGAAUACAUCCUACACUUAGAAAAACAAGCUCUAUAUUCAACUGCAGAGUAUUUUGCUGAUAAUAUUUCAGUACAUGAUGCUUUACUGUUGAUUACAGGCUUUAAACAAAUGUUUCUUCUUUCCCAGUGGUUUGGCUAAUUGAAUAAUAUUAAUGGAAAUCAAAAUUUAAGUAAUGACAUACUGUUACUUAAUUUGAAGUGAGGGUCAUUUAGCAUACAUAAACAACUCCCUCGCUGGGUAUGCAAAGUUAGAUUGAUUAUUCCUCAAGACCAUUUAACAGCAAACCAACUCAUCAUAAGGAAUGACUAAUCCAGGAGUAGAGGACAUAGUACUUUGAAUUUUCCAAGCAAUUCUCUGCAACAGCAGCAUUUCUGUGAACAAUAUCCCCCAAAGCCCACUGUCCUCUUUACUUCGAUCUCCAGAUGAAGAACACACUUAGGCCAUUGAGAACCUGCGGUUGAACACACGUUGCCAGAUGCAUGCCUCUCUCUUUUUUUUCUUUCUUGAAGUGCUUAAAAGUACCUGCGAGAGAUUAGCACCUACAGAACAGCUAAUUCAGACCAAAUGAACACAUGAUGAAACUGAUGCUAGUUAGGACAGACUCAAGGAAGAACUGGAUGGCAGAUCUCCUGCGAGAAAAAAGCCGCCUGUCCCAUUCGCAGCACCAGGGAACUGCAGGCUCUGUUACAAGUUAUCACUUUGUUGCCUCUGGUAACAACCGGGAGUCUCACAUCUCUCUCCGGAUAAGGACAUGCAUACAGUAGCUCACAGACUGAUGGCCUGACUCCCUUUGUAGCUACCUUUUUGUCCGUGUGCUUGUGUGUGUGGUAUUUUAGCAGACAGGUAACAAUAAUCUUCCGGAGUGGCUUAAAUUCAGGCAAAUUUAACUUAAACACACUCUUUUGCUUGCAUUAUGCAGCCUCAUGAAACCCGGAAUAGAGUCUGUGAAUUCCACCCUCAGCCUCAACUCUCAGCUGACAAUUCUUCAUAGCUCCCACAUAUACUGCAACCCUUAUUUUGAACAGAAGUCUCACAGUCCUGGUUUUAUGUCACAGAUGAGACAGCUGAAAGCUUGUACAGCAUCACUGAAAGAAGUGAAGGGCAUGGAAGCUGUGGACACCACUACACAACACCCUCUCCUGCCUUGCCAGUUUGCAGCACUCUUACAGCCAUUGCUUCAAGUGCUGUACUGUGCACAUUAACAGAGAAUAUGCCACUCUUUGUGCCACCCUGUCACACUGAAUUGUUUCUGAAGAGGUUACAAUCCCCUUUGAAGUCAGAGUUAAUUUCAACAAUCAUUUCAGUGAAGCCAACACACGAUCCCACUAAGAAGUUAGUCUUCACUCAAUGUCAGAAGUUCUCUGCAUCAGGUUUUGGAGACAGCUUAAAAAAAGGUCUUCCUGCUACACUUGGCUAUUUCUUUCUGCAACCACUUGACCAUAUUCAUCCCACAAAGCAGUAACUGAAACUUCAGCUGCAGCGCUGACUCUGCUGCUCUUCCUUUGCUCACGAAGUUGGGAAGAGGUACAAGUGAGCAGCACUUUCUGAGUGGGUCCCCCUCCUCAGAAUCACAGGAACCUUGGGGUUGGAGGAGACCUUGAAGAUCACCCAGUCCAACCACUGGCCCAGCACCACCAUAAUCACUCCUGAGUCACAGCCCCAAGUGCCACAUCCAUCUUUGAACACUUCCAGAGACAGUGACUCCACUAUCUCCCUGGACAAGUUAUUCCAAUGUCUGACCACUCUUGGACUGAGAGGUUUUUUUCUAAUACCUAAUAUGAACCUUCCUUGGCUCAGCCUACAGCCACUUCCUCUCGCUCUUUCAUUUGAGACAUGGGAGAAGAGACCAGCCCCCACCUCCCACAGCCUCUUUUCAGGCAGUUGUAGAGAGCAGUGAGCAGUGAGGUCCCCCCUGAGUCUCCUUUUCUCCACAACAACACCAGUUCCCUCAGAUACUUCUCAUGGGACAUGUUUUUAGACUCUUCACCAGCUCCAUUUCCCUUCUCUGGACACCCUCCAGCACCUCAAUGUCCUUUCUGAAGUGAGGGACCUGGAAUGGAACACAGCAUUCAAGGUGUGACCUCACCAGUGCUGACUAUAGAAGAACAAUCACUUCCCCAGUCCUGCUGGCCACACUACUCUUAGGAUCUCCUUCCACAGACUCAUUCUACCACCUGGUUCUGUAGCUGACACGGGAAAGUACAUAUAACAGAUCUGAUGACUGCACUUCAAACGAUACUAAUAACUUAUGGCUUGUUUGAAAAGGGGAAUAAAGAUUUACUAUAUUUUAGUGUUUUA